UCUCCGUAGGUGAACCUGCGGAGGGAUCAUUACAGAGUUCAUGCCCUACCGGGUAGAUCUCCCACCCUAUGUUAUUAUUACUUUGUUGCUUUGGCGGGCCGUUAGGCUCCGGCCCGACUACCGGCCCCGGCUGGUAAGCGCCCGCCAGAGGACCCAAAACCCUGAAUAUUAGUGUCGUCUGAGUACUAUAUAAUAGCUAAAACUUUCAACAACGGAUCUCUUGGUUCUG
rnacentral:misc_RNA from 1 species